rnacentral:rRNA from 1 species
CAGUAGGGAAUCUUCCACAAUGGACGAAAGUCUGAUGGAGCAACGCCGCGUGAGUGAAGAAGGUUUUCGGAUCGUAAAGCUCUGUUGUUGGUGAAGAAGGAUAGAGGCAGUAACUGGUCUUUAUUUGACGGUAAUCAACCAGAAAGUCACGGCUAACUACGUGCCAG